rnacentral:ribozyme from 1 species
UGCCCAGCAACUCCUAUCCCUACCUCCUCGCGGUACUGGCCGGGGUACGAGUAACGUUGGGGAAGAUCGGGUAGCCAACCCCCGGUGGGAACUUUGGUCGUAUGCUGACAGGGAAGG